CAAAUGAACGUCGGAGCCGUCGCACUCAACAUUUCUCUGCAUAUCGUCAGACAUCUUCCUCGUGGAGUUUUCUGCCAAAUGAGGACGUGAUUGCUGCUGUACUGUGAAUCUCAAGCACACCUGCAUUCUUAUCAUGGGUGAUGGGCAGUUCAAGAUUGCUGUCGUUCAAGAAGUUAAUGACCACUGUUGAGGUUGUGAGCUACAAAUACCCAGAAGAGGUGGCACUUACAUUAGAAUUCAUACAGAAAGUUUUCCUGUGAAGAAAUCCUAAAUGAGGGUUGAGAUGAAGGCAACCAGGUGAUGGGCAGUUCAAGAUUGCUGUCGUUUGAGAAGUUAAUGAACAAAUCAUCUUUCCUGUUGCGGUUGUGAGCUACAAAAUACCCAGAGGAGGCGGCACUUACUCUGGAGUUCAUACAGAAAAUUUUCCUGUGAAGAAAUCCUAAACGUGGUUUGAGAUGAAGGCAACCAAGUGGCUGUGCAUUCCUCCAAGACUCUUGCAUGAACAAUUUCAAAAAUCCAUGUAAUAUUUGAGUUUUUAAAUUGAAA